UGCAGCUGUGGCACAACUGCCGUGUGGACCAGGUUCCCAUUCACCACAAGGCGGAUCUCCAUGGAGUCGGUGGUGAAGGCCAGGAGCACCGUUCCUGCCUGCCUGUGCCUUCACCAGGGUUCAGGGUCCUUGGCUCUGUGCGCGCCUGCUCUCUGGCACCCCUUUACGCCGGCCCUCCUUGUACCCAUGCCUCAUCGAGCGUCUGCCCAGGAGAUUCUGACAGCGGAGACAGGAGCGAGGCACCUGGCAGCCCACUUGGCUUGUUGUGUGUUUUCCUUGUGAUGAGAAGCAGUUUAUUGCGAAUUGC